UACGGAGGGGGCUAGCGUUGUUCGGAAUUACUGGGCGUAAAGCGCGCGUAGGCGGCUUUGUAAGUUAGAGGUGAAAGCCCGGAGCUCAACUCCGGAACUGCCUUUAAGACUGCAUCGCUAGAACGUCGGAGAGGUAAGUGGAAUUCCGAGUGUAGAGGUGAAAUUCGUAGAUAUUCGGAAGAACACCAGUGGCGAAGGCGACUUACUGGACG
rnacentral:rRNA from 1 species